AUUCCUUAUUGAGAGGACAGAGCUGGAAGGAAUUAUUGAUCAGAGGUUUUACUUAAAGUCCACGAUGACUCCACAGAUUCUGUUUGAAGCCACUACCAAAGAAAGAAUUCUCAAAUGUUUACUGUAGCUAAAGAAAAACUGUUGAGAAAGAAAUGCUGUAACUCUAAUGUGCUAUAAAUUCUUCUGAGCUUGCUGUGGCUAAUUUAUUAAUUUAAAAAGUAUUUUUUGUCUUUCUUAGGCCUCCUUGAAUCUAGUCACUCUAGAGAUAGAAUACACAAUCUUGUCCUGAUGUUUUUACUUGCAACUCACAAUCUUGUUUGGUGGUUUAGUUGCAGGUUUCAGAGAUUAGACCGUAUAUAUCUAAAUGCUGGGAUCAUGCCUAAUCCACAACUAAAUAUCAAAGCACUUCUCUUUGGCCUCUUUUCAAGCUGAAGGCCUGCUGACCCAGGGUGAUAAGAUCACUGCUGAUGGACUUCAGGAGGUGUUUGAGACCGAUGUCUUUGGCCAUUUUAUCCUGAUUCGGGAACUGGAGCCUCUCCUCUGUCACAGUGACAAUCCAUCUCAGCUCAUCUGGACAUCAUCUCGCAAUGCAAGGAAAUCUAAUUUCAGCCUCGAGGACUUCCAGCACAGCAAAGGCAAGGAACCCUACAGCUCUUCCAAAUAUGCCACUGACCUUUUGAGUGUGGCUUUGAACAGGAACUUUCAACCAGCAGCUUCGCUUUUUUGCAAAUGCAUUCACUUUGACACCAUAUAAUGGAACAGAAGCUCUGGUAUGGCUUUUCCACCAAAAGCCUGAAUCUGUCAAUCCUCUGAUCAAAUAUCUGAGUGCCACCACUGGCUUUGGAAGAAAUUACAUUAUGACCCAGAAGAUGGACCUAGAUGAAGACACUGCUGAAAAAUUUUAUCAAAAGUUACUGGAACUGGAAAAGCACAUUAGGGUCACUAUUCAAAAAACAGAUAAUCAGGCCAGGCUCAGUGGCUCAUGCCUAUAAUUCCAGCACUUUGGGAGGCCAAGGCAGAAGGAUCACUUGAGACCAGGAGUUCGAGACCAGCCUGAGAAACAUAGUGAGCCCUUGUCUCUACAAAAAGAAAUAAAAAUAAUAGCUGGGUGUGGUGGCAUGCGCAUGUAGUCCCAACUACUCAGGAGGAUGAGGUGGGGGGAUCUCUUGAGGCUGGGAGGCGGAGGUUGCAGUGAGCUGAGAUUGUGCCACUGCACUCCAGCCUGGGUGACAGCGAGACCCUGUCUCAAAACAUAUAUAUAUUUAAUAUAUAUGUAAAGCCAGAGCUGACAAUGACACUCUGGAA
rnacentral:lncRNA from 1 species